rnacentral:rRNA from 1 species
GACGAACGCUGGCGGCGUGCCUAAUACAUGCAAGUCGAACGCUGAAGGAGGAGCUUGCUUCUCUGGAUGAGUUGCGAACGGGUGAGUAACGCGUAGGUAACCUGCCUGGUAGCGGGGGAUAACUAUUGGAAACGAUAGCUAAUACCGCAUAAGAGUAGAUGUUGCAUGACAUUUGCUUAAAAGGUGCAAUUGCAUCACUACCAGAUGGACCUGCGUUGUAUUAGCUAGUUGGUGGGGUAACGGCUCACCAAGGCGACGAUACAUAGCCGACCUGAGAGGGUGAUCGGCCACACUGGGACUGAGACACGGCCCAGACUCCUACGGGAGGCAGCAGUAGGGAAUCUUCGGCAAUGGACGGAAGUCUGACCGAGCAACGCCGCGUGAGUGAAGAAGGUUUUCGGAUCGUAAAGCUCUGUUGUAAGAGAAGAACGAGCGUGAGAGUGGAAAGUUCACACUGUGACGGUAGCUUACCAGAAAGGGACGGCUAACUACGUG